AGAGUUUGAUCCUGGCUCAGGACGAACGCUGGCGGCGUGCUUAACACAUGCAAGUCGAACGGAAAGGCCCUUCGGGGUACUCGAGUGGCGAACGGGUGAGUAACACGUGGGUGAUCUGCCCUGCACUCUGGGAUAAGCCUGGGAAACUGGGUCUAAUACCGGAUAGGACCACACACUUCAUGGUGAGCGGUGCAAAGCUUUUGCGGUGUGGGAUGAGCCCGCGGCCUAUCAGCUUGUUGGUGGGGUAAUGGCCCACCAAGGCGACGACGGGUAGCCGGCCUGAGAGGGUGACCGGCCACACUGGGACUGAGAUACGGCCCAGACUCCUACGGGAGGCAGCAGUGGGGAAUAUUGCACAAUGGGCGCAAGCCUGAUGCAGCGACGCCGCGUGAGGGAUGACGGCCUUCGGGUUGUAAACCUCUUUCAGCACAGACGAAGCGCAAGUGACGGUAUGUGCAGAAGAAGGACCGGCCAACUACGUGCCAGCAGCCGCGGUAAUACGUAGGGUCCGAGCGUUGUCCGGAAUUACUGGGCGUAAAGAGCUCGUAGGUGGUUUGUCGCGUUGUUCGUGAAAACUCACAGCUUAACUGUGGGCGUGCGGGCGAUACGGGCAGACUUGAGUACUGCAGGGGAGACUGGAAUUCCUGGUGUAGCGGUGGAAUGCGCAGAUAUCGGGAGGAACACCGGUGGCGAAGGCGGGUCUCUGGGCAGUAACUGACGCUGAGGAGCGAAAGCGUGGGGAGCGAACAGGAUUAGAUACCCUGGUAGUCC
rnacentral:rRNA from 1 species